AAAUUUUUGGCGAUUCCAGAAAUUUCUAUGUGUUAACCCUUUAUGUAUGCUAUGUGUGAAUGGUGGCCACCCGCACAAAAUAAUUGUCUUGUCUUGUCUUGCAAUAACAUGUCGUAACAGGAAUUCCUUUUCAGGCUAUUCAUGAUAUUUUUUUGAACAUAUUUCAUGCGAAAUCAUAGGAAAAAAUGCAAAAUGUUUUAGAAGUGUUUCAUACGAAAGUGAAAUUAGCCGUGUUUCAUGAAACAAGUUUUGACAAGAUUGAUGAAACACGAAAUGUUUUUGCUGGAAUUUGACCACAUCGUGACAUUUCGGUCGUGCCGAUUGAAUACUCGGGUAUUGCGUCAUAUUAAAUGUCAUUUUAUAUGCGUGUUUGAUUGUUUUGAAUAUUCAAGGUAUUUUGUGAGGAAAUGCAAGAAAAAUUCCAUUAAAUAUCAUAAAGAAAUUGCUGCAGAGAAACACAAGUCGAGAAGGCAAAACAACACGGUUGCCAUGCCCAUGGGAACAAAGAAGCUAAGCGCAAUAAUACAGCGAUUUGAUUCAGAUUGACCGACUGCAUUGACACUGAAGAUUGGCUUGUAGAAGUUGAAAAGGCGCGUUGAUGUAUCAUUGGGAAGAGAGAGUGAUAAUUCUUUAGGCAUCUAUGUGAUUGAGGAGACCAGCAAAAAAAAUGGUUCAUUGAGCCAAAGCGAGGCUGGAUUCGUGGCAAAAAUUUCGCGAUGAAUUGUUGCAAUUCUUUCCUACCGUUGUGGAUUUAAGGGCAUCAUUGUUGACACAAACUUUGAAUCUCUCACGCAACUUCUCCGCGUGCUAAUUGAUGCGGAACAAAACACUGAAACAUAGACGAUUCCAAGCAAGACAGGCGCUAUUCCAAGCGCAAAUCUGGGUAAAAUUCAGGGCGAUACCAUCCGUACCGCCAUGGCAAGAAGAAUGACAUUGGGAAGCACACAAGGAAGCCAAAAAGGAGAAUGAGUAGAAAAGCACCGAAGAUCGACGAAGCUCUGAGAACUUUGUUACAGAUGCAAGAAGACCGGACAUUUGAUUGCUCAGUGCCCACAAUAAUUCCGAUGAAUUCCAAUGUAGGGAUAAUUAAAUUGAAUUUCGAGAAAUAAAGAAACUUAAGCCUACUGAGUGUAGUCAAGUGUGAAGUCAAAUAAAAAGAAAUUACAGAAAUGCAUUGUUAUUUAUUCGAGAUUUUAAUUAGUUGUUUUUCAGGACAGAAAAGUGAAAUUAAGAUCUCAAGGUAAGCCUACUAAAUAUAAAUGGAGAAUAAUUUCUUUGUCAUUUUAGAGAAUGGACAUACAACGAGGAAGCAACAAAGAAAUGUGAAGGAUUUAAAAUAUCAAAUAUUAUAUGCCCCACUCAGACACAAUCUAGAGGAAAUGAAGGAAGAGAAUCUUAAGCCUACGACCGGAAUUGAGGACUGGAUUGAUGUUAAGGAAGGCUAUGUGCCAAAGUCAAGCAAUGGCUAUGUGCCGCUUGAAAGCUGAGUGCGCUAAACCAAGAUACAAAGAAGGAAAGGAACCCGAAGCGUAUAAUAGGAAUUAAGAAUUGGAUAGAAGGAAGAUAAAUCGCUAAUCAAGACGAGAGCCGAAGCAAGAAGACUUCGUCUUCACUAGCUGAGCCCCAGGCUUAGUUGCUUCACAGAGCUCAUAGUACUAUGUGUACUCCAUCAUGGAAAAAGAAAGAAA